UACGUAGGGGGCAAGCGUUGUCCGGAAUCAUUGGGCGUAAAGAGCGCGUAGGCGGCCCUGUAAGUCCGCUGUGAAAGUCAAGGGCUCAACCCUUGGAUGCCGGUGGAUACUGCAGGGCUAGAGUCCGGAAGAGGCGAGUGGAAUUCCUGGUGUAGCGGUGAAAUGCGUAGAGAUCGGGAGGAAGGCCGGUGGCGAAGGCGGCGCUCUGGAACGUUUCUGACGCUGAGGCUCGAAAGCGUGGGGAGCAAACAGG
rnacentral:rRNA from 1 species